GCUUACGGCCAUACCACCCUGAGAAAGCCCAAUCUCGUCUGAUCUCGGAAGCUAAGCAGGGUCGGGCCUGGUUAGUACUUGGAUGGGAGACCGCCUGGGAAUACCAGGUGCUGUAAGCU
rnacentral:rRNA from 1 species